UUUUCUGCAUUUCACCUCUGCCUAGCUUGGUUCCUUGUAAUAAACCCUAUGUUCUAUUGUAAAUCCUAUUUAACAUUGUUGGCUCUGUGACAAAUUGCAUGUUCUGUUCCUAGAUCAUCAUGUUGAUGGCCUGCUGCACCCCCUGUCCAAGACAAUCUCCACGGCUAUGAACCAUAUGAUUAGUCUGUCUUGAAUUAUGUUGGCCAAUGAGACAGACACCAUACUGUCCAACUCAAAGAUGAGGUAUAAUCCCUAGCGUUUGGGCCUGUGAUUCUUCAGGACAAGAUCUUGAUGCCAUCCACACUCAGUACAUGAAG